CCUACGGGAGGCAGCAGUGGGGAAUAUUGCACAAUGGGGGAAACCCUGAUGCAGCGACGCCGCGUGAAGGAAGAAGUAUUUCGGUAUGUAAACUUCUAUCAGCAGGGAAGAAAAUGACGGUACCUGACUAAGAAGCCCCGGCUAACUACGUGCCAGCAGCCGCGGUAAUACGUAGGGGGCAAGCGUUAUCCGGAUUUACUGGGUGUAAAGGGAGCGUAGGCGGUUUAGCAAGUCAGAAGUGAAAGCCCGGGGCUCAACUCCGGGACUGCUUUUGAAACUGUUGAACUAGAGUGCAGGAGAGGUAGGUGGAAUUCCUAGUGUAGCGGUGAAAUGCGUAGAUAUUAGGAGGAACACCAGUGGCGAAGGCGGCUUACUGGACUGUAAAUGACGCUGAGGCUCGAAAGCGUGGGGAGCAAACAGGAUUAGAUACCCGAGUAGUC
rnacentral:rRNA from 1 species